UAAAGGGAAAAAUUUUUUUAAAUCCUGGCACUUUUUUUUAAUUAUUAUGAACCAAUUUGGGGGGUAAGACCAUUAAAAUUCAAUUUUGCCCUUCUUAAGGACAGGUCUAAUGUAGGUAUUAAGUUCACCAAAAUAAUU